rnacentral:misc_RNA from 1 species
AGAAAAUAUCGUGGUAGAAGAGAUACUACCCAAAAGCUUGACCCCUAUUAUCAUGAAGAGAAAAAUCUCCGUAAUGAGCAAGAGAAAGCUCGCAAGGAAAAGGAACUUGCUAAAAAGCAUUUCAAACCUAGAAUGAUCGUUCAUCCACGUUUUCAAAAUUUGACAGCGGAUGAAGCAAUGGAGUUCCUUUCAGAGAAGGAUUCUGGCGAGAGUAUUAUCCGCCCAAGUUCUAAAGGCCCUUCAUUUUUGACAUUAACUCUGAAAGUUUAUGACGGUGUCUAUGCCCACAAAGACAUCGUCGAGGGUGGAA